rnacentral:lncRNA from 1 species
GGCCCUGCCACCGCCCCACCCCAAAACCAGAAAUCACCAAAAUACUUCCCCUCUUUCUCCAUCUUUUCCUUGAAAGUCAACGUCUUUCUUGAUUAGAAGGUGGGUGCCAAAGAUUUGAGCUACCUUUUGGAGAAGUGCAGUUGUAGACUUGGACACUUCAUACCCUCAACAGAAGACGCGGUUAGUUUGGUCUAUUGUUUGUGAAUCUGGGCAAUAGCUAAAUUUGCUUUUGGUGUAUUUGUACUGGCUUGGUCAAAGUUACAAUUUCCAGCUCUUGCCAUAUUUUGAUUCUUCCAUGUAUUCCGUGACUAGAUUUUUAGUUCAGUAUCUUUGUUGUUUUCAUUUUCCCAGAUUUAUAUCCCAUUGGAGGGAGUUGGGCAAGAGAAACUUGAUGCUGAGUUUAAGCUAAGUUCUUUUGAUAUCAAAUUCCAUGUGUGCUGGUUUUGAAUUUCUGGUUUUUGGGGCCGGGUUGGGGCUGGGGCGGGGGUGAAGAAGAAGAUAGUUCUUUAUUUUAUUUUAUUUAUUUUUUAUUUUGAUUUAUAUUUUCUAUUAUUUUAUGGGAAAAUUAUUAAAGUACUAUUUUGUCUUUUUAAAAUUGAUUAGAAGGUGGUCAAAAUUAAUUAUUUUGGUCAACUAAUGCCAAAUUUGAUGGAAAUUGUCCGUUGGGGCCUCGGUUGCAAUGAUUUGAAAAGUUUGGGGUGAUGACUAUAACGAUUGAAAGGUUAAGAGAAAGUCUGAUACUGUUUGAAGAUUUGGAAUCUCAACUGCAAAUUUCCUUUAAAAUACUCGUGAUUCCCACAAUUGUGAAAGUGUUUUACGCGUGCACAGCCUUUUUCCUACAAGUUUAGUGCAUGAUUGAUUGCAGCUUGCACUAAAUUCAAGAAAUUUGAUGGUGGCAAUGUGUCUUCAUGAUUAUUAAAGUACAUGAAAAAAAAUAAUUGUUAUAUAUAGGCGAGAGGAAGAUGUGUCUGACUUCUCCUAAAAUUAUUUAUUACCCAUUUUUUUGUAUCUAAAUCUCUAUUGUUGAAGUAUAAAUUUGUUGGCAAUUAUUUAUGCUUGUAUCUCUACUAGCUAAUCAUUUAUUAAGAUGAUCGAACAAUUUAAACUCUUGAUUUAAAUUUUUGUAAAUAAAUCCAUCAAAUCUUUUCACGUAAUCUUCAUAUAUUAAUUAGAUUAUUAUCUCCAUCACAAAUAUUAAAUAGAGUGGUAGUUUUGGUGUAGUGUACGUGCACCAUAAACAAGAUUAAUUUACUGAAGUUGUAUCGCUCAAAGAUGAUAUAUAUAGGAAUGAACUAUUGAGCAUUGAUACGAUACUUUUCAUAGGUUAAAUACACAUGACAUGUCAUAUCACUUCAUUGAUAGAUAACAAAUUUAGUUCAAAUAUAUAUAUUGUUUAAUUUAAGUUUUCUAACUCUCACCGAUCAACGAAAAAAACAAAGAAAAAUUAAUCAGUCCAAGAGACACAACAAACUAAAGAUACAUUCCCUUUCAUGAAUAAAACGGAAAAAAUAUUAGUAGGGUGACAUAUGACUUGACCUUUGGCAAAGGAAAGAAAGAAGUAGAAAAAUUAACCCGUCUAAGUGACUCGAUCGAUCUGGAAAACAAGUGCACUCUCUUGAUCAAACUUUGUUAUAUCACCCUCUCUGGCAAGUGUUCCAGUGAUUACUCUCGCUCCACUUUGAUCCACAGGUAUAGCAGAACUCAAAUCCACAACUGUAAGUGACAAUCAGAAAAAUAAAUAAUGUCUUCGUCCAUAAAGAUAGAUUUGCUUUCAUUCUCACAUAUAUUAAGAAAAUAUAUUUGAUAUAGUUGGAACAAUAAAGUUUGAAUGACCAACGUUGUCAUUAUUUGUGAAAGUUUAGGAAACUAACUUGCAAGUCAUGUGUAUGCAGCCCCCAGUCUUCUCCACAACAUAAUUGCAAUUGGGACAGUUGGGCCAUUUCUUUUUCUUGGCCAGUUUGCGCAUAUUCAGAUCUGCUUCAUCUCUUUCGUUUUCAUUGAAUUCCUGAAACUCUGUGCACUCAAAUCCGGGAUGCCAAGGGACUUUACACUGUGCACAAAAGAGUCGCUGGCAUUCUGGACAUUUUGAUUCCCUAAUGACUUCUUCUUCGCCGUUAUCAUUCUGCAAAAUGGCUGAGCAGUUUUUGUAAGGACAGUAAAAUUUUUGAGAAAUAGGUAUUGUUGAUUCAGUCAGUCCUGCCUCCCAACGAUUGAUCAAAUCUGCUGAAAUGAUAGACCUGCAAAUUCCCAAGAUGAAAGCCUCCUCAGCCCCUAGAAGAAUAUACUCAUUCUCCGGGGAUUCUCCUUUUGGCAUAAUAAUAGAAUUUGACAAUUUGUAUCGGUUUUAUUUCUAAUCUUGAGAAUUACGAAGACAGAGAUUUAUACUAAGUACGCAAUCAAACAAUUAAGAAAAAUUACGAUAUACCUGCAAGAAUCUAGUUCCAAAAAGCUUUGGCAAUUGAAAGCUGGACAUGUAACAGUGUAACUAUUCCGUUCAAUCUGUGUUUUGACAUGUUUACCUGUGCAAUCAGUGCAAAAGGAGUGAAAACAUUUCAUAGUUUUGAACAUCUCAUGGUUUUCUUUUUCUUCCGUGCAAAUAUCACAGGAACUUCGUGAUGAUGAAGAUAUAUGAAGAUUGCUGAAUGAGAUCGAGGCCUCAAGAGCCUCCUGGAAUUGUAAUUCUUCGGCAUACAAGUCAUCUGAUGCAUGGACAUUCCCUGACGAAAAUUCCAUCGGUAAACUAUAAUACUGUUUUUAGAAAUCUUGAACCUGUUAUAUAAUUUCAAGAAUCUUUUUCCUAGAAAUUUCCUUGAAAAUACUUGAAGAAUUGAAACCCAGACCCUAGUCCCAGUUUAAUAUUGCACGGAAACUUCUCACUAAGUUCAAUGAUUAGUCACCUUUAAUUACCUGCUACUUUAACAUAUAUGGCAUUAAUCAAUAGUUCGUACAUAUAAAGAGCACAAAGACGAAGACGAGGAAGAAAAUAGUGGACGAGGUCUAUCUACAAAUAUCACAAAAAGCAUAUUUCAAAGAAAGAAUCAUUGCCCUACUCUAUACUACUCUACAUUUUUUAUAUGAAUUGUAGAAUGCAUUAUGCAGGAGGAAAAGAUAAGAGACGAAAAAUAAAUUAAGCUCAUGUUUGUCUUCCUUUCAAACGUUACUCUUUAAUUCUCAUACUCAUUUUCAACUACAUAUUUACAAAAUAAAAUAUUUUACACAUAAACUCAAAAAAUUUUCCUACCUUUUAAUCGUACAUUCUCCAAAAAAUUACUGUUCAAAAUAUUAUUUUUUCUCAAUAUGACCAUCAUACAAGAUACUUAAGAGAAAGACAUUUAAAUCUAUAUUUAUGAAAUAGAAUUAACCAAUUAUGUUUUGAAAUGGUAUUUUUUGUAGUCAAUAUUUUAUACUCAAGAACAAGACCAAGAGGAUUACUAAUUUUAAUGAAUCAUUUGUUGAUUUUAAAUAUAAUUAUCUCAACUUAUUUUUAAUCUUAUUAUCUUACUUUUCAAAUUUUAAAUUCCACUAUUUUCUCUUUGCACAAUGUUUUGUAUGCAUGUUUAAACCACACAAAUUAGGAUUAAAGAAACAUAAAAAAAUAAUAAAUAAAUAAAUAUAAUAAUAAAAAUUGUUCGUUGAAGCAAAUAUUAUUGUCGUUACAAUAAAAUUUUCUAUUAUCAUAAUGUUGAGAUGAUACUAAUUUUAUCACUCUUAUUCUCCGAUCCAUGGUGGGCAGAAAAACGAUCUUUCCACCGAUGAUUCCAUUUUUGUUGUUCUUUAAUUGAUUUCUUUUUCCCUCACGCUCUAUGCUACUUUUUCCUUCACAUCCCAUCCCAUCCCAACAGGCAACAGCCAACAUUUUUCCCACACCUCACCCGACCUUUUCCCACGCCCCCCACUCUUCCCUUUUUUACCCCGAUUUUGCUAGUGGUACAUCGGGAUAUACUUAAUAAUGUACACCCAACUCACAUGGACGAGAGACUCACUCGAAUAAAAUAUUAUUUCUUUCACAUAGAUCUCACACCCAUGUGAGUGGGAUGUACACCAUUCGAUAUACCUCAUUAUGUACCACUAGACAAAUUCUUUUUACCCAACCAUUCCACCCUAAGUUAUCCUACCCUACGUUUUCACCGCAGCAGUAAUUCUCCUCUCAACCAUUUCAUACCUUAUAGCAAUAUUUUUCGCAGAUCAGAUUUGUGUUUUAGUGAUCGUCGAAAAAAAUUUGUGAUAUGAUAAUGUUUUCGAUAUAAUUGGUUUAUUUAUUUUGUUGGUACUUUUUUUUUUUAAGUUUUUCUAAUGAAUAUUUACUUGAAAUGCAAAUAAUGAACUAUGGAAAAAUGCAAUUUAUAUUAAGGAUUUGUGUUCAUCGUUUUUUAUUAAUUGAUUGGUUUCCCAUGUGAAGGAAUUUAUCAAAUCUCAUUUUUUUGAAACUUGUAGAGAUGGAUUUAGAAAGUAUUGACAUGUUUAUUCCAUAUAUUUCUUUUAGUCAAAUAUCCAUCGCUGUGCAGGAAUUUUGUCAAAUGAAAAGGCAUAUAGUUUCUAUAAUCUAUAUGCACAAGAGGACAGGGGCGGAGCCAGAAAAUUUCUUCAGUGCGGUUGCAAUUUAAUCGAUGCCAAAUUUUGAAUUUUUGGUCAUGAAUUUGAUGAUAAAAAAAAUAUAAAACAAUAUCACAAAAAUACUACAUAAUUUAUAAGUCACACUUAUUUCUUGCGAGCUUUCAUACUUUGAUAUCGUUGUACAAUAAUUUCAUUAUCAAUCUUCAAAAGAUGUAUCUCGUUCAAAUAAUUAAAUUUCUAUGGUAGGAAUCCGUAUUGUCUUACAAAAAACUUGAAUAUCUCUUUUUACAUAAAAACUCUGCCA